rnacentral:rRNA from 1 species
UACGUAGGGACCGAGCGUUGUCCGGAAUCAUUGGGCGUAAAGAGCGUGUAGGCGGCCUUUUAAGUCCUGCGUGAAAUCCUGCGGCUCAACCGCAGACGGUCGUGGGAAACUGGAGGGCUAGAGUGCGGGAGAGGAGAGUGGAAUUCCCGGUGUAGCGGUGAAAUGCGCAGAUAUCGGGAAGAACACCCGUGGCGAAGGCGGCUCUCUGGAACGCAACUGACGCUGAGACGCGAAAGCGUGGGGAGCAAACAGG